rnacentral:rRNA from 1 species
UACGUAGGGGGCAAGCGUUGUCCGGAAUUAUUGGGCGUAAAGGGCUCGUAGGCGGUUUGUCGCGUCGGGAGUGAAAACUCAGGGCUCAACCCUGAGCGUGCUUCCGAUACGGGCAGACUAGAGGUAUGCAGGGGAGAACGGAAUUCCUGGUGUAGCGGUGGAAUGCGCAGAUAUCAGGAGGAACACCGGUGGCGAAGGCGGUUCUCUGGGCAUUACCUGACGCUGAGGAGCGAAAGCAUGGGGAGCGAACAGG